UCCAGUGUCAAAGUCUACACAGAAAGCCUGACAGAGCCCAGCUAUCUACGCAAACAACCCAAUUUGGAAGGUUAACCUGUAACCCGAGGAUUUACCUGGAAGUAACUGCCACUGAAAGCCAGCAUGAUGUAGUGAUUUGAGUUUUGGACUAUGAGCCUGGAGACCAGAGUUCGAUUCCCUGCUCAGCCAUGAAAACUCACUGGGUGAUCUUGGAUGGAUUCAGCUAAAAUAUUCAUCAUCCCCAGCCAUGUGUGCCCUUUGUGGAAGACUGAGCUACAGUUGCAUUAAUAUUUACAGAUAAUUGUUGACCACCAAGCCAGACCAUGGAGAACAAAGAUGUAAUUGUUUUAAUUUUAGCGUGUCAUGAGUAUGGUAUUUCCUAAUCUUAUCUGAGGGGAUUCUGCAGCUCACUGGAUUUCAGAGAUGCUGUGCUAAAUCCAAAAAAG